rnacentral:tRNA from 2 species
UCUGGAGUAGACGAAUUGGUAAAGUCAUGAAUUUUUGGUAUUCAGAUUUGGGUGUUCGAAUCGCCCUUCCGGAA